UACGUAGGGUGCAAGCGUUGCCCGGAUUUAUUGGGCGUAAAGAGCUCGUAGGCGGUCUGUCGCGUCGGCUGUGAAAUCCCGAGGCUCAACCUCGGGUCUGCAGUCGAUACGGGCAAACUAGAGUAUUGCAGGGGAGACUGGAAUUCCUGGUGUAGCGGUGAAAUGCGCAGAUAUCAGGAGGAACACCGGUGGCGAAGGCGGGUCUCUGGGCAAUAACUGACGCUGAGGAGCGAAAGCGUGGGGAGCAAACGGG
rnacentral:rRNA from 1 species